AUUGAACGCUGGCGGCAUGCCUUACACAUGCAAGUCGAACGGCAGCGGACCUUCGGGUGCCGGCGAGUGGCGAACGGGUGAGUAAUGCAUCGGAACGUGCCAUUGAGUGGGGGGAUAACGUAGCGAAAGUUGCGCUAAUACCGCAUAUUCUGUGAGCAGGAAAGCAGGGGACCGCAAGGCCUUGCGCUCUUUGAGCGGCCGAUGUCAGAUUAGCUAGUUGGUGAGGUAACGGCUUACCAAGGCGACGAUCUGUAGCGGGUCUGAGAGGAUGAUCCGCCACACUGGAACUGAGACACGGUCCAGACUCCUACGGGAGGCAGCAGUGGGGAAUUUUGGACAAUGGGGGCAACCCUGAUCCAGCCAUGCCGCGUGAGUGAAGAAGGCCUUCGGG
rnacentral:rRNA from 1 species